AAGUCGUAACAAGGUUUCCGUAGGUGAACCUGCGGAAGGAUCAUUACAAAUCCACAAGUCACACACCCUAACCGGUCGUCGACAACGUUGAACUCUCCGCCUCGGUGCGGCGUGCGCAAGCCGCCGUGCCUCGAGGACACACCUAUUUGACCCCCCGUGCUGACAUGACAUACCACGAAUGUACCAACACAACGACACAACCUAGAAACAACUUAUAACAAUGGAUCUCUAGGCUCUU
rnacentral:misc_RNA from 1 species